GACGAACGCUGGCGGCGUGCCUAACACAUGCAAGUCGAGCGGAGCCAAUUAACAGAUCCCUUCGGGGUGACGUUGAGGAAGCUUAGCGGCGGACGGGUGAGUAACACGUGAGUAACCUGCCCAUAAGAGAGGGAUAACACAGAGAAAUUUGUGCUAAUACCUCAUAUUGAAUUUUAAUCGCAUGAUUUUAAUUUGAAAGAUUUAUCGCUUAUGGAUGGACUCGCGUCUGAUUAGCUAGUUGGUGAGGUAAUGGCCCACCAAGGCGACGAUCAGUAGCCGAACUGAGAGGUUGAUCGGCCACAUUGGGACUGAGACACGGCCCAGACUCCUACGGGAGGCAGCAGUGGGGGAUAUUGCGCAAUGGGGGAAACCCUGACGCAGCAAACGCCGCGUGAAGGAAGAAAGGCCUUCGGUUGUAAACGUUACUGUUCUUAGG
rnacentral:rRNA from 1 species